GCAAACAAGACUACAGAAGCCAAGAGCAUGCCAGGGGAGUAUCAGCCAGAACAUAUGACUGGCCCCUUUUAUCUGCUUUUUACCAGUUUUCCUUCUCAAUUAUACCACGGGUUGCAUUUUUAAAAACAAUAGAUAUGGAGAUUAAUAUCAUUUGAAGUUGUUAGAAAAGGGAGCUGAAAGGAAACUGAGGGACGUGCCCAGGUGUGUAUCAGCCAAUCCCUUGAGUAAACCAGGAGAAAGCAGAGGAAAAUGAGGAAGGCUUUCCUUUUAAUCAACUGAGCUGAAUCAGGCAGAGGCUAUAUGCAAGCAUCAGCAAAACCAACUUGGAUUCCUAAGAGAAGUCAAGAAAGCACACUCUUGCCCUCCUGGACACUGGUUGAGUUGAACCCUAGAAGAUGACUGGAGUGGGCAUGCUCUCUGGAAUGUACUUGUGAGGGCCAGUGCUCUGGCUGCCACUCUGGACCGUGAGGAUGAGACCAGGCCGUGGAGAUGACAGAAUGGUUCUACCCACUUCCUUCCCCCUCCUUCUUUCUACUUGUCCUGCUGAUGGGAGACCAGAAGGUGCAGCAUCUCUAUCGCAAUCAUAAGGCAACAGGCAUGGAUGGAGUCGGCACCUCAGGAUUCACCCCCCCCCCCCCAGCAGCUGCACAGGACUGUAUCGCGAGACUUCUGCUGUGUGAAAACAAACCCCUGUGUGUUAAGCAAACAUCAGCUGGCUUUCCUUGUUCCCUCCAGCCCUCCUCUUACUGAUGUAGAACUUACACAACACAACAUGGCUCCUUUGAAUGUCUUUAUCUCUUAGUGUGACACCUGGGAGUCAAGAGUUGACAUCAGGCCUAGGCGACCUCAGAGCUGGUCUUCUCACAGUAUUGUUCUGUGGAAACUCCCAAGGGUGGACAGAUGGCGACUGUUAAGUCUGUGAGGUCCCCAACUGGGGAGACUUCAUCGGUCGGGGGAGCUGAGUGGGCAUGCAGGCCCUGAGCCUACAGGGUGAGGGUGGUACCAAAGAUUGGUGGGGGACCAAGGUGCUCUGUGCUUCUCUGUGUCAAGGUGACCCCCACUCACCUUGACUCCCACCAUUGGCUGUCAUACAUGUCCCAUGUGGGUGAGAAGGUAGAAGAAGCUGUGCCAUUGGGUGGGUGCUGGGCCUCCAGGGGAGCGAAAAAUGCUACACCGGUAUCCCCAGCUCUGUAUCCUUCCAUAAAGCUGCAGAAACAUGGUACCAGGUCAAAGCCUCUGUGUCUUGGGAUCUGACUACCCACCAACCUGGACCCAUAACCACGACUAUGCCAGAUCAUGACCCAGCUGAUUUUGUUAAGACAGAUCGGCAACACUUUGUUCCCCCAUUAGCAAUAAUUAUUUUAUUAAUCUCUAUAUGGUCUUUUGUGUUGCCUCAAAUAUUUUUUUGGAUGGGUGGGAGUGUAAACGAUCUUAGUAAGUACAAGUAAAAAGCUUUCUACUCAAUGGCAAUCAUUUUGUUACAACUGAAGAGUGUUGGCUCUUGAGGAUGAGAUGGCGGGAGGGGUAUGGUGAGGGGCUGUGUGGUGAGGGCCCAUCCAGGAGGAGUGGGCCUGGAGGUAGAACGGAGAAAUGAAGACGGCGCGGGACUGGAAGUCGGGGAGACCUGAAAAGAAGUCCACAUGCUACCAUUACAGCUGCAGAGUCUUGAGGGCUUUAUUUAGACCUCCUGUGUCUCAAUGACCUCUUCAGUAGGUUGGGAAUAAGCCUCUGUGUAGAUGAAAUGAAACAGUAUAGAUAAAACAUCGAGCCUAGUCCGGGCC